AUUGAACGCUGGCGGCAUGCUUUACACAUGCAAGUCGAACGGCAGCACGGGUGCUUGCACCUGGUGGCGAGUGGCGAACGGGUGAGUAAUGCAUCGGAACGUAUCCAAGAGUGGGGGAUAACGCAUCGAAAGGUGUGCUAAUACCGCAUACGCCCUGAGGGGGAAAGUGGGGGACCGUAAGGCCUCACGCUGAUGGAGCGGCCGAUGUCAGAUUAGCUAGUUGGUGAGGUAAAGGCUCACCAAGGCGACGAUCUGUAGCUGGUCUGAGAGGAUGAUCAGCCACACUGGGACUGAGACACGGCCCAGACUCCUACGGGAGGCAGCAGUGGGGAAUUUUGGACAAUGGGGGCAACCCUGAUCCAGCCAUGCCGCGUGAGUGAAGAAGGCCUUCGGGUUGUAGAGCUCUUUCGCAAGGGAAGAAAACUUAGUUCUUAAUACGAGCUGAGGAUGACGGUACCUUGAUAAGAAGCACCGGCUAACUACGUGCCAGCCGCCGCGGUAAUAC
rnacentral:rRNA from 1 species